AACCCGAUUCGUGUACCGAACCCUGCUAUCCUUGACCUCGCCUACGGCAUGGGUGGACCAGGACGGAGAAACAAACACACAGCCACACUUCAGGAUAGUCAGACAGGGCAGACGGUGAAUCUUCAGAAGAAGAUUGAGGGUCUUUACCUCAGUGUGAAACAGAGGAAACACUACCUCUAUCGUUUGAUAGUUUCUUUUGUCCAUGGCUGUGCCACAGCUGUAUGGUUGCGCCCCGACAGUGACAAGUGGCAAGCAGGACAUCCUGAUUGGAAUAAAAAAGCUGCCACAACCUGUCCGUUCCUCCUCUGAACUGCUCCGGGUGUCUGAGACAUUGGACAGUGGGGCUGGACGAACCUGUAAAGAGUGGCUACUGGCCAGCCACCGUGACUCACCAGACCAUCUUCACAGUGGACCUCUUCAAGUCCUUUGAAGACAUGAAGGUGUUGGCCCCAGGAUUCUCCCGUCAAGCCUUUGUGGGAAUGCUUGAUGGAAGAACUAAGCACUUUGGCAGGAGUGGAAAGAUAUGUGGUGACACAUUCCAGAAGGCAUUCUUUGAGUGGACUUUACGGCACGGCUUGAAAUAGACAAGUUUUGUGUAAGCGAUCUCCUCCAAUGUCAUGCCUGGAUAGGAUGGGAAUCACAAGCAAUAAAGCCUCAAGGUUUGUACUACCUUCUUAUGUGUUGGAUGUUUUGU
ensembl:lncRNA